rnacentral:rRNA from 1 species
CUUCCAGGAAAAGCCUCUAAGCUUCAGAUAGUCAGGAAUCGUACCCCAAACCGACACAGGUGGUCGGGUAGAGAAUACCAAGGCGCUUGAGAGAACUCGGGUGAAGGAACUAGGCAAAAUGGUACCGUAACUUCGGGAGAAGGUACGCUCUUGAUGGUGAAGUCCCUCGCGGAUGGAGCUGACGAGAGUCGCAGAUACCAGGUGGCUGCAACUGUUUAUUAAAAACACAGCACUGUGCAAAAUCGCAAGAUGACGUAUACGGUGUGACGCCUGCCCGGUGCCGGAAGGUUAAUUGAUGGGGUUAGCGCAAGCGAAGCUCUUGAUCGAAGCCCCGGUAAACGGCGGCCGUAACUAUAACGGUCCUAAGGUAGCGAAAUUCCUUGUCGGGUAAGUUCCGACCUGCACGAAUGGCGUAAUGAUGGCCACGCUGUCUCCACCCGAGACUCAGUGAAAUUGAAAUCGCUGUGAAGAUGCAGUGUACCCGCGGCUAGACGGAAAGACCCCGUGAACCUUUACUACAGCUUGGCACUGAACAUUGAACCUACAUGUGUAGGAUAGGUGGGAGGCUAUGAAGACGUGACGCCAGUUGCGUUGGAGCCGUCCUUGAAAUACCACCCUUGUAUGUUUGAUGUUCUAACUUAGACCCAUUAUCUGGGUUGAGGACAGUGCCUGGUGGGUAGUUUGACUGGGGCGGUCUCCUCCCAAAGAGUAACGGAGGAGCACGAAGGUGGGCUAAUCACGGUUGGACAUCGUGAGGUUAGUGCAAUGGCAUAAGCCCGCUUAACUGCGAGAAUGACGGUUCGAGCAGGUGCGAAAGCAGGUCAUAGUGAUCCGGUGGUUCUGUAUGGAAGGGCCAUCGCUCAACGGAUAAAAGGUACUCCGGGGAUAACAGGCUGAUACCGCCCAAGAGUUCAUAUCGACGGCGGUGUUUGGCACCUCGAUGUCGGCUCAUCACAUCCUGGGGCUGAAGUCGGUCCCAAGGGUAUGGCUGUUCGCCAUUUAAAGUGGUACGCGAGCUGGGUUUAGAACGUCGUGAGACAGUUCGGUCCCUAUCUGCCGUGGGCGUUGGAAGAUUGAAGGGGGCUGCUCCUAGUACGAGAGGACCGGAGUGGACGAACCUCUGGUGUUCGGGUUGUGUCGCCAGACGCAUUGCCCGGUAGCUAAGUUCGGAAUUGAUAAGCGCUGAAAGCAUCUAAGCGCGAAGCGAGCCCUGAGAUGAGUCUUCCCUGAUACUUUAAGUAUCCUAAAGGGUUGUUCGAGACUAGAACGUUGAUAGGCAGGGUGUGUAAGCGUUGUGAGGCGUUGAGCUAACCUGUACUAAUUGCCCGUGAGGCUUAACCAUACAACACCCAAGG